rnacentral:tRNA from 1 species
GUGGUGGCUCAGAGGUAGAUCACUUGCCUGCCAUGCGUGAGGUCCUGGGUUCAAUCCUCAGCACCACA